rnacentral:rRNA from 1 species
GACGAACGCGGCGGCGUGCCUAAUACAUGCAAGUAGAACGCACAGUUUAUACCGUAGCUUGCUACACCAUAGACUGUGAGUUGCGAACGGGUGAGUAACGCGUAGGUAACCUGCCUGGUAGCGGGGGAUAACUAUUGGAAACGAUAGCUAAUACCGCAUAAUAUUAAUUAUUGCAUGAUAAUUAAUUGAAAGGUGCAAUUGCACCACUACCAGAUGGACCUGCGUUGUAUUAGCUAGUAGGUGAGGUAACGGCUCACCUAGGCGACGAUACAUAGCCGACCUGAGAGGGUGAUCGGCCACACUGGGACUGAGACACGGCCCAGACUCCUACGGGAGGCAGCAGUAGGGAAUCUUCGGCAAUGGACGAAAGUCUGACCGAGCAACGCCGCGUGAGUGAAGAAGGUUUUCGGAUCGUAAAGCUCUGUUGUAAGAGAAGAACGGGUGUGAGAGUGGAAAGUUUCACACUGUGACGGAUCU